rnacentral:lncRNA from 1 species
GGACAUCUGUCUUCUAUACCUAAUAAAGUCGCCCGACGCAGAAUGAACUCCUCGGCAUCGCUUUGAAUCCGGGCUCACAUAUGGUUGCUAAUUAGCUGGCUAUCUCUUGGAGUUAAAUGAUUUUUUUUCUCGCCCCGUUCGCAUCCAUAAUAGACGCGAACAGAGUCGUGAUUGUUCCCUGUUGCGGGACAUUCUGCGCCUGAAUGAGCGGGGGCUGCUGUGUCGACGCGGAUUUGCCAUAUGGUUGCGCGGAGCCAGGAAGAAUGGGCCCCUGUGUGUGCGACCGGGACGCAGCGGCGCGGGCCGUGCCAGCCGGGCGGAGCCGGGUGCCCGACGGCGCAGGAC